rnacentral:rRNA from 1 species
UACGUAGGGUGCGAGCGUUGUCCGGAAUUAUUGGGCGUAAAGGGCUCGUAGGCGGUUUGUCGCGUCGGGAGUGAAAACACACAGCUUAACUGUGUGCUUGCUUCCGAUACGGGCAGACUAGAGGUAUGCAGGGGAGAACGGAAUUCCUGGUGUAGCGGUGAAAUGCGCAGAUAUCAGGAGGAACACCGGUGGCGAAGGCGGUUCUCUGGGCAUUACCUGACGCUGAGGAGCGAAAGUGUGGGGAGCGAGCAGG